rnacentral:rRNA from 1 species
AGUUUGAUCUUGGCUCAGAUUGAACGCUGGCGGCAUGCCUUACACAUGCAAGUCGAACGGCAGCACGGGAGCUUGCUCCUGGUGGCGAGUGGCGAACGGGUGAGUAAUGCAUCGGAACGUAUCCUGGAGUGGGGGAUAACGUAGCGAAAGUUACGCUAAUACCGCAUAUUCUGUGAGCAGGAAAGCGGGGGACCUUCGGGCCUCGCGCUCUUGGAGCGGCCGAUGUCGGAUUAGCUAGUUGGUGAGGUAAAGGCUCACCAAGGCGACGAUCCGUAGCAGGUCUGAGAGGAUGAUCUGCCACACUGGAACUGAGACACGGUCCAGACUCCUACGGGAGGCAGCAGUGGGGAAUUUUGGACAAUGGGGGCAACCCUGAUCCAGCCAUGCCGCGUGAGUGAAGAAGGCCUCGGUU